GAUUUUAAUUUUAAAAUUAAUCUUAUAAUAUUAAUUAAUAAAAAUUUAAAUUUAUUAAAAAAU
rnacentral:tRNA from 1 species